rnacentral:rRNA from 1 species
AUUGAACGCUGGCGGCAUGCCUUACACAUGCAAGUCGAACGGUAACAGGUUAAGCUGACGAGUGGUGAACGGGUGAGUAAUGUAUCGGAACGUGCCCAGUCGUGGGGGAUAACUGCUCGAAAGAGCAGCUAAUACCGCAUACGACCUGAGGGUGAAAGCGGGGGAUCGCAAGAACUCGCGCGAUUGGAGCGGCCGAUAUCAGAUUAGGUAGUUGGUGAGGUAAAGGCUCACCAAGCCGACGAUCUGUAGCUGGUCUGAGAGGACGACCAGCCACACUGGGACUGAGACACGGCCCAGACUCCUACGGGAGGCAGCAGUGGGGAAUUUUGGACAAUGGGCGCAAGCCUGAUCCAGCCAUGCCGCGUGCGGGAAGAAGGCCUUCGGGUUGUAAACCGCUUUUGUCAGGGAAGAAAAGGUUCUGGCUAAUACCUGGGACUCAUGACGGUACCUGAAGAAUAAGCACCGGCUAACUACGUG